rnacentral:rRNA from 1 species
UACGUAGGGGGCAAGCGUUGUCCGGAAUCAUUGGGCGUAAAGAGCGUGUAGGCGGUUCAGUGAGUCUGCUGUGAAAGUCCAGGGCUCAACCCUGGGAUGCCGGUGGAUACUGCUGGGCUAGAGUACGGAAGAGGCGAGUGGAAUUCCCGGUGUAGUGGUGAAAUGCGUAGAUAUCGGGAGGAACACCAGUGGCGAAGGCGGCUUUCUGGCCUGUUCUUGACGCUGAGGCGCGAAAGCUAGGGGAGCGAACGGG